CUUUAGAGUUCCCAGCAACCAUCCCCUGAGUCCCGGUUCUCAUUCUCACCAGUGCUCCCAGCAGAUAUCGGUCUGACGGCUCUCAUUAAGAAGAUCUUUGAUCAGAAGCCCUGCUGGGAACUCUGGUUUGGUCCCACACCGAUUCAACCCAGCUCCUCUGUUUGUCCAACUUCCAGGCAGAAGGUCUGAUAUCUCUUCUUUGGUUUGCUGCAGACAAAGAGGGAGGACUUCCUCGGUCUUGACUCCAAACCUUCUCUUGCUGCUCACCCGAGCCUGAAACUUCCAGAGGGGAUUGCUAUUAAGAAGAUUCUUCUCCACACAGGCGUCUGAGUCUUUAAAAAGUCCCUUCAAAGCUUCUCCUCCUGAGGUCGAAGGGAAGUCAGCUCAAGAGUUGAGGAUGGAGCAGUAGGACCUCUGCACUUCAAGCCAUGUGUCCAUCCGUGCUACGAGGGAGUGUGCUGGGCAGCUUUGGAGGAAGUAUCCAGAGCAGGCAGAGGUGGGAUCUCCUGCCGACCCCAGCUUGACGUUUUGACGGACACGCUGGCAAGGUGAUGACGGAAAUGAAGGGAGAAGUGGAUGGAGAAAGAGUGAUGGAGACGACCAGAACUGUCAGGGUUGUUGAAAGCCGGUGGCUUUAGAAUUCUUGAGGUGAAGGUCACCCCAAUGACAAGAUGGAUUGUUCAAUCUUUAUUUAUAUAAUGACAAAACUCACAGUACAACUGGGCAACACUACGCGGAGUGAAAGCAGCAACAGAUUUUCCAGUUUUAAAUAUCCCGACAGAGCAGUGGAGAUUUAUGUAGCAUGACAAAGAUCCAGGCGCUCUCAAGCCAGUGUGCGGCAAAAGUACUGCGUCUCAAUAGAGACGGUGUCAAAUGGCCUCUGCAGUGUGUGCAACCCCUCUCUCUCUCUCUCACUCACUCUCUCUUCCUCCCUCCCUGUUGUGUAAAGAGCAGUACCUUUGCUUUUGAUGAAUACUCUGCUAAAUGUUCACAAAUAACCUUCGCUCGCCGCGUGUUACCUGACUAUCCAGAUGUUCAACACCCAAAUACAACCAGGCUCUGUGACUUUAAGUGCGAUACAGUUCAAGCAGCCACCUAAUGUGUUUCAUGAAUAUCGAAUGCCCUUAUACGUGAAACAACUUUCCCUAGGGAACCAUAACUCUCAGUGGCCAUUUCAUGAGCUCACUGGGAAAUUUGUUACAGUUUAUAGACUUAAUUUUCUCCUCCCUGUGAGACAGGCGAUGCGUCAUCGGUCCCUGAUGGGCCAGAAGAUAAUAGCCAUGAGUUUCGCUGAUCCUCAUAAGAAACGAUCCAUAGAAAACAUGUCACCGUCAGAUGCUUAUUCCAGGCUUCUGAUGACAAAAUGUUCAACCAUCUAAGAAGAAAACAGCUGAAAACCCAGAAGAAUCACAAUUUUUCAUCCCCUUUAAUAUGGUCUAUGGUGCGUUAGCAGCACUGGCAAGAAUCAGAACAAUUCAAAUACAGUGAUUUUCACUCCCAAUGUUAUCAGCAUCUAUUAAAUUCAGUUCAAUUCUAUGCCUUUCUCAGCUGAAACCAGUCUUAGUCAAAUUCAAAUGAGCUCAGCAGGUGGCAGUAGUGUUCCCGGAACUCUUCACACGCAAUCCAGAAGAGAGUGGUCAAGACAGAGAAGGUACAAAAUGGCAGUCAUGAUCGGAUUUUUCUCAACUUUGUAAAGAGUAAAAUAGUACUUCAAAUGAAGGAUUUGAUGGCUAUCACUCACUUUUGUAUGAGAACUAUAAUAUAUGUCAAGCAGGUUUAUUGCGAAGCUUAUGUUUUACUUCCUGGUCUGACAACGAAUGCCUCGUGAUUGGCUGACGCGUACAGGUUGUGUACACUUGGCUUUACUGAAGCUACAUUUAUUCGUUUAUAGUGAAAAAUGUGCAUCAAUUGAUGAGAUUUUCACCGUUACGGAAUCAGUCCAGGCGACUUCCUGUCCUGAAGAUGGCGCGGUAAAUGUUAGCCAGUCAAGAUGUGUUCACUGGCGUAAGACAUGGGCUUGCUAAACAUAAAAUAUAAUUGCUACAGGUGGUAAAAGUGUGCCUUGAAUUUUGAAGUUCCACUAACACAUUAAAAAGUUUCAAAAAGUCUGAUCACUAUGUCCAGACAGGACGUCAUCGGCUGGUACAUUGUACAAGGAGACACACUUUGGAACAUACGCCAUCAGCGGCAUUCUAUCAAAUUCCACACACCCCUCCUCUCCGAAUGUAAAAACAUAAAGCCGAAUGCAGAAGCUGAUACACAAAAUUCCAAUCACAGAAACUAAAAAAAAAACAGUCAACACAAACUAAAAUACAAUGUAGUUACUUGUAAACCAAAAAAAUAACCAUUAGGAGUGGACUGAUGUCCAUUAUGUUUCGACUGGCAACCUUUGAGAUAAUGUAAAAAUAGUCAGGUUGUUUGCAUUAACCUCCAAGGACACUACACUUAGACACGUUUGAGUGGCUUGUUCCUGCCAAAGGUACUCAGAAGGACCAGAUAUGAAUGCUUUUUAAUGGUGCUCAUUGGCUGUGUUUCAGUCAGAGGACGUCCUACCUGCACCUCAAUGGCAGCCUCUUUUU